rnacentral:lncRNA from 1 species
UGAGGCGCCGUGGGGAGCCGCCCGUUCGGCUCCGUGCCGGGCGCGGCCAUGCCCCCGCCAGUGCGCGGGCACGGCAGGCGGCAGCCUCGUCCUUCCUGAGCUUCUGCCUGGCCCCUGCCCCCACGGGCCCCGAGGAAGACGGAUUUGUCUGCCCUGAGCGGCGCCUCUGCCCCUGCGUUGCUGCCUCUCUCCAUGUCCUACCUGCUGCUAGAGACCAGUGUUCUGGUUUGAGGUGCUGUGUAGACCAAUCAUCCAGGUCAAUAAAAACACUCCCGGAGCAUGCUAGGGACUUGUGUAUAAGAAACCAUCUGUGGCUUCACUCUGCAGUCUCCUGGGUGAACCCUGUGGCAUUACCAUGGCUUUACCAUGCUCUCGGUGCGAUACUUUUUGGAGGGAAUUUGAGUGUGCAUAAGCUAUGAGCAUCUGGUACUCCUGGACCUAGGGCAUUCCUUCAUGAAGUCUCCAACACAGUACUGUACAGCAGCCUCAUGCCCUUCACCACGAACAGACUACCAUACAUCCUAAAAUCUCUGAAAAAUAUAAAAAUACCUCCAAGACUCCCCAGACAAGAUUUCCAAGAAAAAAAAGGAGAACAUGCCUAGGAGAAAAAGAAACAAAAAAACAAAAAAUGGAAGGUAGGUCUAAGGGGGCCUCUAGCAUCUUCGUACUGUGAUGCCAAAAUUAUGCUAGGCAUCAGCAUAAAAUAUUGAGGAGGAAAAGUCUUCAGUCCUCAAAGCUGAAGGAGAAAAACGAGGUAGGCUUUUAUUCUAUCGGCAUGGGCACUGAAGUACAUGUGAAGAUACUAACCCCUAGAGGGCAGUGUAACCCAAAGAAUAGAGAUACUAAGCACGCAAGCGCUCGGACAACAGUAUAUGAAUGGAAAUCAGCAAUUUGAAGAUGUGCUUUUUCGUCUCAACAGUGUUAAUAGAAAAACAGGCUACAAGGACGUAUUUCCUAGAGUAAAUCUGUGUACACAGUAAGACUCUAGAUUUCACUUAUUUUUAAGCCAUAUUUAAGUGAAAUUUUCUUCAAAAAAAAAAAACCCUAAUUCCCUCCCCCCACAUUUUAUCUUCUAAUGAAGAGUUAACCUAGAACAGGUAAUACUGAAAUAAUUUCUGUGAUAACAGAUUGUGAUAUCCAAGGUUAUGUCUCUGUUUUCAGAGAGGAAUGGAGUACAAAAGAAUAAAAGUUUUGUUUCUGAUGGACUGCA